ensembl:lncRNA
GAGUAAGGGUGUUUGGAGGAGAGAGAGGGGGAGUAAGGGUGUUUGGAGGAGAGAGAGGGGGAGUAAGGGUGUUGGGAGGAGAGAGAGGGGGAGUAAGGGUGUUUGGAGGAGAGAGAGGGGGGAUAAGGGUGUUUGGAGGAGAGAGAGGGGGAGUAAGGGUGUUUGGAGGAGAGAGAGGGGGAGUAAGGGUGUUUGGAGGAGAGAGAGGGGGAGUAAGGGUGUUGGGAGGAGAGAGAGGGGGAGUAAGGGUGUUUGGAGGAGAGAGGGGGGGAGUAAAGG